CACUGGUCGAGUCGGCCUGCGCGGAAGAUGUAACGGGGCUAAACCAUGCACCGAAGCUGCGGCAGCGACGCUGAUGCGUUGUUGGGUAGGGGAGCGUUCUGUAAGCCUGCGAAGGUGGCCUGUGAGGGUUGCUGGAGGUAUCAGAAGUGCGAAUGCUGACAUAAGUAACGAUAAAGCGGGUGAAAAGCCCGCUCGCCGGAAGACCAAGGGUUCCUGUCCAACGUUAAUCGGGGCAGGGUGAGUCGACCCCUAAGGCGAGGCCGAAAGGCGUAGUCGAUGGGAAACGGGUUAAUAUUCCCGUACUUGGUGUUACUGCGAAGGGGGGACGGAGAAGGCUAUGUUGGCCGGGCGACGGUUGUCCCGGUUUAAGCGUGUAGGUGUGUGUUCCAGGUAAAUCCGGUUCACUUUAACACUGAGGCGUGAUGACGAGGCACUACGGUGCUGAAGCAACAAAUGCCCUGCUUCCAGGAAAAGCCUCUAAGCAUCAGGUAACAUCAAAUCGUACCCCAAACCGACACAGGUGGUCAGGUAGAGAAUACCAAGGCGCUUGAGAGAACUCGGGUGAAGGAACUAGGCAAAAUGGUGCCGUAACUUCGGGAGAAGGCACGCUGACACGUAGGUGAAGUGAUUUACUCA
rnacentral:rRNA from 1 species